AGACAGCAAAUUUGGUGACCACAUAAAAAGAAAAGGAAAUGUAUGAAAAAUUAGAAAGCAAAAAAUGGGGACAGCUCUCAUAUCCACUGCUUGCUUUCUCCCUUCACAAAAUAGGGAAGUGAUUGGACUCGUCCGAAAUUUAAAGAACAAAUUAUUUGGCAAAGUUAUUCGCAAAUCAAGUCUAUUCAGCAGAAACCGUAGAGACUUUAUGAUUGCCUCACUGCUUGGAAGGAAGGUCCAGAAGAGAGAGACGGUUAUUCCCGAACCAGAUUACCGAAUACCAGUUGUCUUACUUGGUUUAGCUGGUGGAUUAGCUUAUUCAGAUAACCUGUUACCAGCUGCACCAAUUGGUUUGCUUGGAUUGCUCUUAUUGUUCCAGACAACAAGAGUUAGAUUUGUUUUUGACGAUGAGGCUCUGGAGGUCAAAGUAGGAGAUCAACUUGACAAUUCAGGUGAAAAUGUAUUCGUGGGAGGAAAAAAUCGUUGGAAGUAUUCAACAUUUGUGAAUUGGGAACUAUGGUGGCCAAACUUCCCUAUUCUGGUUUAUUUCAAAGAGACUCAAACGAAACCUGAAGGACAAGUGCACUUCUUCCCGGUUAUUUUUAAUGGUAAGCAGCUUUACGACGUGAUGGUGGAGAGAGCUGGCCCGUCAAAAACUAGUGGACCAAAAGACUCCUAAAAGCUUGAGCAAUUUGAUGGUUCGGCAAUUUUCUUGCGAUUCAUUCUUUUAAUCAGUUGAUUUUUCUUGCAGAGAAGGAGUUGCAUCUGCUUGUUCAAGCUGGAUUGUCUAUUUCUGUUUCAACAGAUACUGCAGUAAUGUAUCAUCAUAUGGUUAUAUAUAUUGAUAAAUUUGGGAAAUUCAGGUUCAAGUGUAGUAGUGCAAGUUUAUGUAUCAUACAUGGUUUAUUGACCAAUAGCUAAUGAAUUAUCUUAUUGUUCAA